rnacentral:rRNA from 1 species
AACGAACGCUGGCGGCAUGCCUAACACAUGCAAGUCGAACGAGACCUUCGGGUCUAGUGGCGCACGGGUGCGUAACGCGUGGGAACCUGCCCUUAGGUUCGGAAUAACUCCCCGAAAGGGGUGCUAAUACCGGAUAAUGUCUUCGGACCAAAGAUUUAUCGCCUUUGGAUGGGCCCGCGUUGGAUUAGCUAGUUGGUAGGGUAAAAGCCUACCAAGGCGACGAUCCAUAGCUGGUCUGAGAGGAUGAUCAGCCACACUGGGACUGAGACACGGCCCAGACUCCUACGGGAGGCAGCAGUGGGGAAUAGUGGAAAAUGGGCGAAAGCCUGAUCAAGCAAUGCCGCGUGAGUGAUGAAGGCCUUAGGGUUGUAAAGCUCUUUUACCCGGGAUGAUAAUGACAGUACCGGGAGAAUAAGCUCCGGCUAACUCCGUG